AUCCAUCUGAAGAGUCUCAAAUAGGAUGAAACGCACGUCAUUGAU
rfam:Schistosoma rodhaini strain Burundi genome assembly, scaffold: SROB_scaffold0009351